rnacentral:rRNA from 1 species
UACAGAGACUGCAAGCGUUUAUUCGGAUUCACUGGGCGUAAAGGGUGCGCAGGCGGCCAAGUGUGUGAGGCGUGAAAGCCUGGGGCUUAACUCCAGAAUUGCACCUCAAACUACUUGGCUAGAGCAUUGGAGAGGGUAGCAGAAUUCAUGGUGUAGCAGUGAAAUGCGUAGAUAUCAUGAGGAAUACCAGAGGCGAAGGCGGCUACCUGGACAAUUGCUGACGCUCAGGCACGAAAGCGUGGGGAGCAAAAGGG